rnacentral:lncRNA from 1 species
ACUUAACUGACAUUAAAAAAAUGCUUAGAUCCUGUAGCACAAGUAUACAGCAGUAUAAAGUGUGUAGAUUUAUUCAGCUGUUUAUAUGACUGUCUAAUUAAAAUCAGACAGUCGUCUUGUUCUGUCAUCUGUCACCACUGAGAACAGUCUAACUCCAUCCUUUUUGGAACCCCCUGUUCAGGGCCUGAAUUUCUCUUAUAAGUCUGAUGAGUGCAUUGCAUGCUGCUGGAAUAUAGUGCCAAACUGGAUUAGUCCAUUGACAGAGCAGGGGAAAUACACCAAACCCGAAAUCUUUGGAGACAGUGGUAAGUCACCAAUUCCAUUAUCUUGUGAAAUAUUAGUUUUGACCAUUGCAUGGACCAUAAUUACCAAAUGAAUUAACAUAACCCCUACUCCUUUUCAUUUUAGUUUAUUCCCCUACCCCCCGUGCUUUAUGGAUCUGUCUAUUCAGUUUCUGGUCCUG